rnacentral:rRNA from 1 species
UACGAAGGGGGCUAGCGUUGUUCGGAAUUACUGGGCGUAAAGCGCACGUAGGCGGACUGUUAAGUCAGGGGUGAAAUCCUGGAGCUCAACUCCAGAACUGCCUUUGAUACUGAUGGUCUCGAGUCCGGAAGAGGUGAGUGGAAUUCCGAGUGUAGAGGUGAAAUUCGUAGAUAUUCGGAGGAACACCAGUGUCGAAGGCGGCUCACUGGUCCGGUACUGACGCUGAGGUGCGAAAGCGUGGGGAGCAAACAGG